rnacentral:lncRNA from 1 species
GCGCGAGCAGGCGGCCAAGGCCCUGAGGUGCGGCCUGCCCCAGAACGCUGAGCAGCUGUCGCACCGCAGACGGGCCACGGCCGCCGCGGCAUCCAGCCCCGGCCCGCAUCAUGAGGUCCGCGGGCCCCUCCUGAACUGCGGCUGCCGGCGCAAGGGGCCUCGGGGAACCGGGGCCAUGCGCGGGCUGCGCUGACGAUGCCGCCCGGCGCGCCCGCUCGCCUGGCGCUGGCCCUAGGCCUGGGCCUGUGGCUCGGAGCGCUGGCCGGAGACCCUGGGCGCGGCUGCGGGCCUUGCCCGCUCCCCUGCUUUUGCAGCCCGGCGCCCGACGCUGCCUGCCGCGUCAAUUGCUCGGGUCGCUGGCUUCAGACACUCGGGCCGAGUCUGCGCAUCCCGGCUGACGCCAC